GGCCCCGUCAUAAUCCUAGGGCUCCUUUGUCAGAAGCAUCUCAAGACCCUAAGAUGUUGGGAUUUUUCAAAUCGGUUCAUUCCCUUAUCAAAUCCAGUCAAAUUAAAAGAUUUUGGCGGUAAGAUUUUGGCUUCCCUCCUCCAAAUUCUAAAAAGUACAGUUUCCUUUAUUAGUUAUAAUUCUUCAAAAGACCUAAUUUUUUACUUCUGUUGUGCUAUUGCAGUUACUUUGAGAAGGAGAAGGUUUUGGCAUUGAGGCUUUUGAAGGGUUUUAUCUCUUUUCAUCUAAUUGCUUUCAACACUGCUAAUCUUCACAAAACAGUGCAAAUUUGAAUAUUUGCAGGUACCCAGUUUAGAUAAUAGUUUUCUUUAUUUUUUAGGUUGUUCAUAUGUUGUUGUUUUUUAAAAGAAUUUGUGCAUGUGGUAUUCAAGUUUUUGCCGGUACCUAGUUUAGUUAAUUUUUCUUUUCUUUUUUUUCCCCGUAGUUGUUUGGAUUUUAUUGAGUAGAACACAAGAAAUAUAGAUUUUUAUAGGCAACUUUAACUUGCUAGGUUCUGAGACAUAGUUGACUAAUCGAUGGAUGAAAGAAAAUUUGUUUUUCUUCUUUUUGGGUAGGUCUUUAAUUUAUUUUGUCUUUUGUCGUAUUUCAAAUACAGGAUUGUUGUGUUCUGGAAGCGCUUACUAGAUUUCUUCUUUCCUAGUUAUUUAUGCUCUUUAGUUUGCUUGUAGAUUAUGUUUCUAGUAUUUGAACUUACUGUAUAGAAAGAAUGGUGCUAUUUGAAAAGUAUUAGAUUAGCAUGAUCUCAUUUAGUAGUUCAAUCUAAAAUAAUCUUAAAUUAAGUUCAAUCAAAUAUCAGUUUGAUACUAGUUUUAUGGAAGUUCUAUUUACUCAAGAUGUUAGUUCUCGUGUUCUAUAGUUUGAUUUUGCUUAUUCAUGAUAAAAUAUUAUAUUUUUGGCAAUAGAAUGAACUAGUUUGCAAGAUUCAUUUCAGAAAAAAAUUGAAUCCAGAUCCACAUCCGGAUAAUACUAUAUUGGAAAGUGAAGAAGAUAUUGAAUGAAUUAGAGAAGGUGUGUCGGGAAUAGAAAUUGGCCCAUUAACUUUAACAGCUUGUUUGGAUGGUUGUUACAUAUCGUUUCAUAAUGUAUUGUAUUGUAUUGUAUUGUAUUGUAUUGUAUUAUAUUGUAUUGUAUUGUAUCGUUUGAUUAAUACAAUGUUUGCAUGGAUUGUGUCGUUUUGUCGUCGUUUCAUGGUAUUAUGCACCAGUAAUAUGAUGAAUAAACUUGCAAUAUUAUAAAGAAAAUUAUGAGAUGGUAUAUAAAAGGUAGAGUAAAUGAUAAAAUAAAAUUAUUUAAUAAUAAUAAAGGGUGAGAUUNNNNNNNNNNNNNNNNNNNNNNNNNACGGAUUUAACGAUACGAUACAAUAAAAUUUAAGUAACAAUCAAAACAAACAUCGUAUAUAAAGUAACAAUACGAUACGAUACAACUGGUAACAACCAUCCAAACAAGCUGUAAAAAGUAAUGAAAUAUAUGAUGAAGAAAACGACAUAUCUUAGUUAUUCUUCCUAUAUUUGUCACUAUUUUAGUAAAUAUUGUUAUUAAAAAUAGAUCAUUGAGUUGGAGUUUUUUUACUGUGCUUCUUAGUGUUUGAAUCUCUAUCAUUAUUCUCACUUUUCUUUUUUUUUACCUCUAAAAAUUUUGAUUUUUGAUUUGGUGUUUGGCAGGAAAUUGUCUCUAAUAUAUAAAAUUGUGUCUAACUUUCUAGGAAAAGAGCAAGAGGAACAAACAAAGCCGAAAGAAUGUGUAUGCCACACAUAUCAGGAAGAAAAAAUCAUUCUCAAAUUAUAAAUAAGGUAUGCCAUAUUCACUAUCUGCUUUCUGCAAUUUAUAUGUCCGUACUUGUUUUCUUAAAUUCUUUGAUACACCUUUUUACUAUUUAAACAAAUGAAAAAAUGAUGGUGUAAAAUCAAGUCGUAUUGAGGUGUUGAAAAAAACACAUAUGAGAAAGAAUAAACAACCAGUAAAUGAGAUAGAUGGUGAAGUUAUGGUAAAUUCUUAUUCUUUAUGUAUAUAAAGGUAUUUCCUUUCCAUUGUAAAAAUUUAUAACUUUUUAUUGCUUUACUCUUUCUUACAAAACAAGAAGAAGUGAAUGAACUUGCUAAGGUGUAUCUGAGUUAAAUGUUCCUGGAAUUGCUCUCAAUGAUGUGUAUGGAUAAGUUAUGGGACCAGACACUCAUAGGAUUGUUAUAACUCCAGAAAUAAAGAGCAACUCUAAGUUUUAUUUACGGCCUUAUAUAUAAAUAAUUUCAGGCUGAGCAAACGUAUUUUGAUAAAACUGUUAAGGUAGAAGUUCAAAAAGCUACCAGCUAUAAGAAUUGAGAUGGAGGAAGAAGUUGUCGGAAGCUAAAAAAGAAAUGGAAGCGAUAGAGAAAAAGUUGUCUGAAGCAAAAAAAGAAAUAAAAGUGAUGGAAAAAAAGUUGCCUGAAGCAACAGAGGAUAUGGAGGCAAAAAUAGACAAUAAAGUAAAGCUGGGGAGACAUUGGCUCAAAUUAAAAAUCAUCAGGUAAUGAGCAGGUAAACAAAAUUGUGCUUAGUCAUAAGAAAUUAUUAUAUAUAAGAUGAUAUUAUAAUUUAGUUUUCUUUUAGUUAUAAUAAUCUUCCUCUUUUGUGAUAGAUUUCUGAUAACUCAAUUGAAGAUCGCCAACAAUCACUAUCACCUAUAUUUCAGUUGUUCAGACAAAUAAGGUGAGUUUGUACACUUGUUUAAACGAUAUAUUUUUAUACUUAGAUUCGAAGAGCAGGAAACUUUGGCAUUUGAAAUUUUUGCUUUUAGUUGAACUAGGUAAAAGAAUUUAUAUCAAAGUUGUUUGAUCCUAUGGGUAAAUGUUGUCAUGUUCUGUUAUCUUCUUAUACUUAAUAAAGUAUUUUUCAUAAAAUGAAAAAUAUUAUGUGGGUUUAUCUUAUUUUUUGUAUCUAAUAUUCUAUAAUUGCUAAGUUUUGAAUUUUGUACACUAUCAAAGUAGCCAUUUUAAUGUUUCUUUUCAGGUUAAACAAUCAAAAAGACUAGAAUUAGUGAAUUAGGCAUAAAGAAAAACUAGGUAAGUUUAUAAUAUUACAAGAUAUUGUUUCCUUUUUUAUGGCUUUUUUUUCUCUAUUUUUGUUCUCUCUUCAGUUGUUGCUAUUAUACCCAUUAUUCAAUAUGUUUGUUUUUUUAGAAUCCCAAUCUGUUGUUGUUUUUGGUAUCCUAAUUUGUUAUAGUCGAGGAGGAAAGAAUUCCCUUUAUUAAUUAUAAUUCUUUUUUUUUUGUAUGAUUUCUCGUGCAACAUUUUUUAAGGAAGUGAGGUCAAUUACUGGCAAUAAAAAUCUUGACUUAUGGAGAGGUGGUUUGAACAAGCUUUGUUACAGGAAUUAGUCUAGAAGUUGAGGGAAUUCAUUCGAAUUAGGAGUGAUCUUAACAUAGUUACAUGUGGAAAUAACCAUCUUUUAUGAUUUAGUUGAAUUUGAGCUUUACUUUGAGAACAAAUCAUUUGAUUUGGUAUCAUCUAUCUUGUACAGAGUACUUUUUAUAUUGAUACUUUGUUCUUUAGUUAUAGUAUUAAAAGACAUUUGUUUUACAUACAUUUCAGGUUAGUUAUAACCGUUGACAUUUAUGAAUGUACAAAUUGAAUGUAAAGUACUGUAAUGAAACUAAAUAGAGGAUUAUUAUUAAUAUUUUAAAAUUUUGGUACCGAUAUUAUAUAGGAAUUUUUUAAUAUGACAUUUUAAACAGUUGUAAAAAAUGUCACUACUCGGUUUUUGACAUUUAUGUAAAUUUACUUACUGCCAUUAAAGAAAAAUGUCGGUAAUUUUAAGUGACGUUUCAUAGAUGUCUUAAACUAAAUAUCGUAAAAAAUUUACUCACAUUUACCUAAAUAUCAUAAAUUAAAUGUCGUAAGUUUCUUAUUGACAUUUAUGUAAAUGUCAUAAACUACAUGUCGUAAAAUUCAUACCGACAUUUACCUAAAUGUCGGAAAAUUAACGACACUUAAUACAAAUAUAAAAUAAAUAUCGCUAAACGAAUUUGCGAUAUUUAAGCAUAUUAAAAUGACAUUUAAUAAAUAUCGUCAUAUCUCUAUUUUCUUGUAGUGGAUGGAGGUCAGUUUCAUCAGCUCCAGCAUUCAAUUGGUCAUAACAGCUAUAGAUACAGGCCAGUGACUCCUCAAUCUCAUGUUCAAAAUGGUACGCUACUCCAAGACAUUGGAUUGCGUUUAUCAGAUUCAGAUUUUGCAAAGAUUUUGAAGGAGACAUCUCUAGCAUUUUUCUCACUUUUUCUUUUAGGUCUUCAUGUUCCUUCUCUUCCCAUUCAUUGGCUCCCUAUAGGAGUAAUAAUAAAUAAAAUUUUAAUUUCAUUCCGCUCUAAAUUAUUUACAAACACGAUGAAGAAGAUGCAGAGCAGAAGGAGAUACUCCAUCUAUUUUAAUUUAUAUGUCUUAGUUUGAAAAAGAUUUAAAAAAGUAAGGAAAAUUUUUAAAUUUUGUAAUCUCAUAUAUGGCAUGUGGAAAGUCGAAGUUGAAGAGUUACUAAAUAUAAAGAAAAAGAUAUUUUUUUGAACUAAAAAGAAAUAUAAGACAUAUAAAUUAAAACAGUACAAAGGGAAUAGUAUUCAAUUAAAUACAAAUUUCUAUUAUAUAGAAGAGGGAAGGUGGUCGACCAAGGGUAUAUAUGUAAUUUCAGCAGAUUUAACUUGAAUUUUUAUUGCUCAUAUAUAAGUCAUAAAACACGCGUCCUUCCUGAUAUUCUUCAUCUAGAAUUUUUUAUUUCUCUAUUAGCUCAGUUCUCCAACUAGCCUUCUUUCACUUUUUUACUUUGUCCAGUGGUCUAUCAUUUGAGCUUCUAUCUUUUUCUUAUUUUUGUUAUACCAAUGCGGUAUCCCAGUGGUUAAACCCAUAGUUGAAGACAGAGAUGAGUAAACGAGGUAUGUGCCAAUAACUUUAUUUCUUUUCAGUUCUUUAGACUACUACAAAGGGAAUUGUUCAAGCAUUUGGACUACUUCUCUUGUUAAAUAAAUAUAAAAUAGAAGAUCGAAAUUCGACUCAAGGUGGUGGAAUUGGUGACAGAUUGUACUCUUGAUAUAGGUGGUUUAAUGAAUUGAGAUGAAAUCAGAUUUCGAAUGCAACUGUGUUUCACAAUUUGGGAUAAAGUUGUGUGCUACUGUAAUAUCUGUGCCGAUCGAAGAAAACGCUCACAUGAUUCUUGCCGGAUAGAGCACUCUUGGAGCUUUCAAACUUCUGAAUUGGAAUAUUGAGGUAUAACCCCUUAAAUUGCUAUUUUUAAAUUGUUUCUGUAUUUUCAUUUAUUUUCUUUAUUUAUUAUAAUAAUUAGUUAAAGAUUGAUUCUCUGCUAAUUUUGAGGUGUAACCCCUUUGAAAUUUUGAUUUCUUUUGAGGUAUAUAACUGGUGAAAUUUUUGAUAAUCGCUGAUUGAAAUUUUGAUGUAUAACCCCCUUUUCUAGAUUUGUCUACAUUGCCCGACUGCUUUGCGCAUUGGUUCCUCAUCUAUGCUCUUAUAGUCUCGUUCUUUCCCUGACCGAGUUUUUUCUUUUCCAUUAUUUCUCUUUUAUUUUAUCUUCAAAACCUCCUCUUGAAUGAGGGUUGAAAUUGAUUCGUUGAUCCGAAAUGACAACUUUUUACUUUACUUCCUUUAUUUGUUAUUUCAACUAUUAAAACAUUUUAUAAUGUGCUUUCGUUGUCAAUAUAAUCGAUGUGGAGUAUGGGAAUUUAACAUCAUAAAGGUGAUAACUUGGUAAUUAG
rnacentral:lncRNA from 1 species